UACCAGCACCCCGAGUGGUCGGGACGAUUAUUGGGCCUAAAGCAUCCGUAGCCGGUCAUGCAAGUCUUCCGUUAAAUCCAGCCGCUCAACGGUUGGGCUGCGGAGGAUACUACGUGGCUAGGAGGCGGGAGAGGCAAGCGGUACUCAGUGGGUAGGGGUAAAAUCCUUUGAUCCAUUGAAGACCACCAGUGGCGAAGGCGGCUUGCCAGAACGCGCUCGACGGUGAGGGAUGAAAGCUGGGGGAGCAAACCGGAUUAGAUGACCCUAGU
rnacentral:rRNA from 1 species